rnacentral:rRNA from 1 species
UACGUAGGGUGCGAGCGUUGUCCGGAAUUAUUGGGCGUAAAGGGCUCGUAGGCGGUUUGUCGCGUCGGGAGUGAAAACCCAGGGCUUAACCCUGGGCUGGCUUCCGAUACGGGCAGACUAGAGGUAUGCAGGGGAGAACGGAAUUCCUGGUGUAGCGGUGAAAUGCGCAGAUAUCAGGAGGAACACCGGUGGCGAAGGCGGUUCUCUGGGCAUUAACUGACGCUGAGGAGCGAAAGCAUGGGGAGCGAACAGG